AUUGAACGCUGGCGGCAGGCCUAACACAUGCAAGUCGAGCGGAGCGGCGGACGGGUGAGUAAUGCCUAGGAAUCUGCCUGGUAGUGGGGGAUAACGUCCGGAAACGGGCGCUAAUACCGCAUACUAUCAGAUGAGCCUAGGUCGGAUUAGCGAGUUGGUGGGGUAAAGGCGUACCAAGGCGACGAUCCGUAACUGGUCUGAGAGGAUGAUCAGUCACACUGAAACUGAGACGCGGUCCAGACUCCUACGGUAGGCAGCAGUGGGGAAUAUUGGACAAUGGGCGAAAGCGUGUUCCAGCCAUGCCGCGUGUGUGGAGAAGGUCUUCGGAUUGUAGAGCACUUUAAGUUGGGAGGCGUUACCAACAGAAUAGGCACCGGCUAACUUCGUGCCAGCAGCCGCGGUAAUUC
rnacentral:rRNA from 1 species